CUUCUAAAUCGUGGUAGAUCUAAAUGAGUACAAUAUAAAUGCUAUCUUUCAUGCAUGAUUGGCACUAUAUACAAAUAUUUAUACUCAUCUCAUAAUUAAAAACUUCAUGUCUAUAUCCAUCCUAUAUUCAUCUUGAAGUGGGUUAAAUCAAAUCAAGUAGAGAUACAAAUUAGAUUGGGUUGGAUGAAUAAGAGAGGUU
rnacentral:lncRNA from 1 species